rnacentral:rRNA from 1 species
UACGAAGGAUGCAAGCGUUAUCCGGAUUCAUUGGGUUUAAAGGGAGCGUAGGUGGUCUUAUAAGUCAGUGGUGAAAUCUCUGGGCUUAACCCAGAAAUUGCCAUUGAUACUGUAGGACUUGAGUAUAGUUGCCGUUGGCGGAAUAUGACAUGUAGUGGUGAAAUACAUAGAGAUGUCAUAGAACACCGAUUGCGAAGGCAGCUAACGAAACUAUAACUGACACUGAGGCUCGAAAGUGUGGGGAUCAAACAGG